CGGUUUCAAAAUAAUCCAUGUUUUAGGAUUUUCACACUUAUAAAUAAAACGUAAUAAAACAUAUUCCUUCCAUUCCUAAAAGUGAAAUUUUCUAAAUUUAUUUUUUUGUUCCAAAAUAAUAGAUUUUCUAAAAUUUUAAGGUACAUUUAAUAAUUAAUGCUGAUAAAUUGUAUAUUUUUAAAAAAUAUUAAUUGAAAAUAUCAGAAUUAAUUAAAUACUAUUGGUUGUUAAUUAUUGGAAAAUAUAGUGAUAUCAAUAAUAAAUUCAAUUGUAAACAUUUAUUAUAUUCUUAAUAUGCGUGAAUAUUCUAUAAAAUAUUUUUUUCAGAAACGAGGGAGUAAUAAAACUUAGUUAUUAAUGCAUAGUUUUUUUUAAUUUUAUAUUUUCUAUAUUUCUAAACUAAUAAGACUUCAAAAAAUGCGUUUAAUAUUUUUGAAUUUUACAAUUUUUCAUUACUAAUUGACAACAAAUGCAUUGGAAAUAUAAAAAAUACAUAGUUUUCGAAACAAUUUUUUUUUUCUAAAUUGUGUAACUUUUUGAAACGGAGGGAAUAUAUAUUAUGAAAACGAAGAGAUAUAAUUAAAUAAAGUAUAUCACAUUAUCACUAUCGAAUCUUUGAUUAUAUAUAAAGUUUAUACACGGGAGAAUAAAAGUAAUCACCGUUAUAUAUAUUAAACUAAUAAUUGAAAAAUAGAGUCCCCACCAGAUCAAAAUAUUCCGCACCUCUUUCUUUUUCUUGUCUCUUUCUUCUUGGUACGUUCUCCUUCCUCAGGACUCACGCUUCAAUUAGAUACAGUCAUAAGUUUUCUUGGAUCGGGCCAUGGAAAAGUCUAUUGCAGUGACGAUCUCGGUGAAAGCUCUGGUUGAUCCAAAACCGGAGAAAGAAGAGAAUAAAGAAGAAGAAGAUGGGUUCACAACUCCAUCAGGGCCGCAGUUUAAAAUUCCGCCGCCGGUUGUGUGUCCUCCGGCUCCGAGGCGCGACAGCUUCAAGCGGAAGAAGAUCGACAAACGCCGGAAAAAAUCUACCGGACGGAGGCUUACUUCAGUCAAAGCUCAAGACUUGAACACUGUCUUCACAAGAACACAGACAUAGUUGAAGAAAGACUCUUGAGUUUUUUUCUUAGUGCGUACGUUAAUGACUUGUUAACCGAAGAAAUAUCAGGGGUUUUAAUUUUAUUCUAAUUAUGUGUUUUUUUUGUUACAACUUUGUCUUGACCUCUUUCUUUAUUGUAUAUUUUUUUAUAUAAUUAGUCUUAUCUAUCAUCGUAUCAUAGAUGAUGAUGCAACUCA